ensembl:lncRNA
GGGGAACAGGGCAAGUUCAAAUGAUUGCCUGGUGUCUGAAACCCUUUAUGAGGCUGGGGAGACUGGCUUUAGCCAGUUUUCUCAGGUUUUGCUUCUUCUGAGCAUUUGGGGAAUGCACCUGCUCUGGACUCUGCCCACCAGACACUUCAUGGGUUCCAAGGAAGGCAGGCAUCUUGGAGGUAGCUGCUCCAGCCUAUUCUAGUUUGUUCCCUACACUCAACUCAUCUAUACGAGUUUUUAUCAUAUUCAAGCAGUGCCUGUGGUUAAUGUAUGUAAUUCUAUAUAUAUGUAUAUGAUAAUAUAUGUCACCCUUACAUAUGUGUGUAAGCAUAUACUUUAUACCUUUAUUUUUUUAGAUUUAUAUGAAAACUUGACAUCAUUAAUAUCAAUGGAAAACAAAGGUAUCACUGUCCUUAAGGAGAAGGGAAUUAUGACCAUGAGGAAACAAUCUUCUUAUUUCUUCGCCUUUUAAAAAUGAGAGAUUAGCAAGGACACCAGGGUCAGUUGAACGUCCAACUCUUGGUUUCAGCUCAGGUCAUGAUCUGGGGGUCCUGGAGUAGAGCUUUGCACUCAUGGGAGAGUCUGCUUGAAUUUCUCUCUCCUCCCUCUGCUUCUCCUGCUUGUGUGGGUGUUCUCUCGCUCUCUCUUGCUAAAAUCAAUCAAUCAAUCAAUCUAUCUAUCUAUCUUUUUAGAAAAGGAGAGAUUAGCAGGUGUUAGGUGUUAAAGCCUAGGAAUAACAAAAAAUUCAACAUUUUUUUUUUUUUUUGUAAUCAGAAAGGCUGUAGAGAAAUGGAGGAAAAGUAUCUCGCUUGUGUGUUUUAAUAUUAUCUACUGCUGUCAUGAACUCCUCAUGUAAAGACAUUUGGAAAAACACCUGAGAGGAUGGGUGUGCUUGUUGGGAACUCUGGGAACCACUUCAUUAUCCAGAGCUGCAGUCCGAUCUGAAAUAUCAUCAGGCAUCAUCUUGAUCAUCUUGGGAAAGAAGUCUUCUGAUGUCCUGAGUCCUCAGUCUUCUGAAGCAAUCUGCUGGUCCCAAGCUCUCCCUCUCCAAGGACCUGGAAGAAAGACGGUGAUAAACCAGAGACGCUUACAGCUUCAUCAGCUCGAAGGACAUGACUUAUUUUCCUCUUCCUUGAACUUUGCUUGGCUUCCCGAGAAGAUAACUUAUUUUUAUUUCUCUCUUUAUUUCUUUAUUUUGUAUCAGCCUGUAUUAAAGUCCUAUAAAUAACCCUGGAGACACACGAAACAGAUUCAUUUAAUUUUCCUUUAGUUAUCCUAAGUCGGAACAGAUGUGUGUUUGUGAUAGAAAAGAGGAGGGGGAGGAUGAAUCAUAGGUGUGGGAAGAGGGAGGAGAAACCUGCUGGCAUCUGUGCUGGAAGAUCUGGCUGAUUUGGGGAGGUCGGCACACAGUGCAGGCUCAGCCUGGCUGGGUGUGCUUAGACCUCGUGACAUCUGCCACCGUGGAGUCCCCAGGAAGCCAAGAUACCAAAUAACGGGGCAGGGAGGAGGUCAGAUGCAUAGAACGUGUUGUGUCGUCCAGUGUCACCUGGCUCGGUGCUCCCCCAUAGCUCAGGCCAUCAGCUGACUGCCUUCCUUUCUUAUAUGCCUGAAAGAUAGGAAGGUGAAGAUGGGUGAGACCUGAGGUCAGAAAUAGUUUUAGGAUUCAUCGAGUGCAGAGAUCAGUUGCUUGGCCAUGAAGCCAUGAUCAAGCAUCUUUC